CCGAAUGGGGAAACCCAGUGUGAUUCGUCACACUAUCAUUAACUGAAUCCAUAGGUUAAUGAGGCGAACCGGGGGAACUGAAACAUCUAAGUACCCCGAGGAAAAGAAAUCAACCGAGAUUCCCCCAGUAGCGGCGAGCGAACGGGGAGGAGCCCAGAGCCUGAAUCAGCAUGUGUGUUAGUGGAAGCGUCUGGAAAGGCGCGCGAUACAGGGUGACAGCCCCGUACACAAAAGCGCAUGUGCUGUGAGCUCGAUGAGUAGGGCGGGACACGUGGUAUCCUGUCUGAAUAUGGGGGGACCAUCCUCCAAGGCUAAAUACUCCUGACUGACCGAUAGUGAACCAGUACCGUGAGGGAAAGGCGAAAAGAACCCCGGCGAGGGGAGUGAAAAAGAACCUGAAACCGUGUACGUACAAGCAGUGGGAGCNNNNNNNNNNNNNNNNNNNNNNNNNNNNNNNNNNNNNNNGGGCGUUAAGUUGCAGGGUAUAGACCCGAAACCCGGUGAUCUAGCCAUGGGCAGGUUGAAGGUUGGGUAACACUAACUGGAGGACCGAACCGACUAAUGUUGAAAAAUUAGCGGAUGACCUGUGGCUGGGGGUGAAAGGCCAAUCAAACCGGGAGAUAGCUGGUUCUCCCCGAAAGCUAUUUAGGUAGCGCCUCGUGAAUUCAUCUCCGGGGGUAGAGCACUGUUUCGGCUAGGGGGCCAUCCCGGCUUACCAACCCGAUGCAAACUGCGAAUACCGGAGAAUGUUAUCACGGGAGACACACGGCGGGUGCUAACGUCCGUCGUGAAGAGGGAAACAACCCAGACCGCCAGCUAAGGUCCCAAAGUCAUGGUUAAGUGGGAAACGAUGUGGGAAGGCCCAGACAGCCAGGAUGUUGGCUUAGAAGCAGCCAUCAUUUAAAGAAAGCGUAAUAGCUCACUGGUCGAGUCGGCCUGCGCGGAAGAUGUAACGGGGCUAAACCAUGCACCGAAGCUGCGGCAGCGANNNNNNNNNNNNNNNNNNNNNNNNNNNNNNNNNNNNNNNUGCUGGAGGUAUCAGAAGUGCGAAUGCUGACAUAAGUAACGAUAAAGCGGGUGAAAAGCCCGCUCGCCGGAAGACCAAGGGUUCCUGUCCAACGUUAAUCGGGGCAGGGUGAGUCGACCCCUAAGGCGAGGCCGAAAGGCGUAGUCGAUGGGAAACGGGUUAAUAUUCCCGUACUUGGUGUUACUGCGAAGGGGGGACGGAGAAGGCUAUGUUGGCCGGGCGACGGUUGUCCCGGUUUAAGCGUGUAGGUGUGUGUUCCAGGUAAAUCCGGUUCACUUUAACACUGAGGCGUGACGACGAGGCACUACGGUGCUGAAGCAACAAAUGCCCUGCUUCCAGGAAAAGCCUCUAAGCAUCAGGUAACACGAAAUCGUACCCCAAACCGACACAGGUGGUCAGGUAGAGAAUACCAAGGCGCUUGAGAGAACUCGGGUGAAGGAACUAGGCAAAAUGGUGCCGUAACUUCGGGAGAAGGCACGCUGACACGUAGGUGAAGUGAUUUACUCAUGGAGCUGAAGUCAGUCGAAGAUACCAGCUGGCUGCAACUGUUUAUUAAAAACACAGCACUGUGCAAACACGAAAGUGGACGUAUACGGUGUGACGCCUGCCCGGUGCCGGAAGGUUAAUUGAUGGGGUCAGCGCAAGCGAAGCUCCUGAUCGAAGCCCCGGUAAACGGCGGCCGUAACUAUAACGGUCCUAAGGUAGCGAAAUUCCUUGUCGGGUAAGUUCCGACCUGCACGAAUGGCGUAAUGAUGGCCAGGCUGUCUCCACCCGAGACUCAGUGAAAUUGAACUCGCUGUGAAGAUGCAGUGUACCCGCGGCAAGACGGAAAGACCCCGUGAACCUUUACUAUAGCUUGACACUGAACAUUGAGCCUUGAUGUGUAGGAUAGGUGGGAGGCUUUGAAGUGUGGACGCCAGUCUGCAUGGAGCCGACCUUGAAAUACCACCCUUUAAUGUUUGAUGUUCUAACGUGGACCCGUAAUCCGGGUUGCGGACAGUGUCUGGUGGGUAGUUUGACUGGGGCGGUCUCCUCCUAAAGAGUAACGGAGGAGCACGAAGGUUGGCUAAUCCUGGUCGGACAUCAGGAGGUUAGUGCAAUGGCAUAAGCCAGCUUGACUGCGAGCGUGACGGCGCGAGCAGGUGCGAAAGCAGGUCAUAGUGAUCCGGUGGUUCUGAAUGGAAGGGCCAUCGCUCAACGGAUAAAAGGUACUCCGGGGAUAACAGGCUGAUACCGCCCAAGAGUUCAUAUCGACGGCGGUGUUUGGCACCUCGAUGUCGGCUCAUCACAUCCUGGGGCUGAAGUAGGUCCCAAGGGUAUGGCUGUUCGCCAUUUAAAGUGGUACGCGAGCUGGGUUUAGAACGUCGUGAGACAGUUCGGUCCCUAUCUGCCGUGGGCGCUGGAGAACUGAGGGGGGCUGCUCCUAGUACGAGAGGACCGGAGUGGACGCAUCACUGGUGUUCGGGUUGUCAUGCCAAUGGCACUGCCCGGUAGCUAAAUGCGGAAGAGAUAAGUGCUGAAAGCAUCUAAGCACGAAACUUGCCCCGAGAUGAGUUCUCCCUGAGACUU
rnacentral:rRNA from 1 species